CAGCGCGCAUUCGGGUUGUAAACCUCUUUCAGUAGGGAAGAAGCGAGAGUGACGGUACCUGCAGAAGAAGCGCCGGCUAACUACGUGCCAGCAGCCGCGGUAAUACGUAGGGCGCAAGCGUUGUCCGGAAUUAUUGGGCGUAAAGAGCUCGUAGGCGGUUUGUCGCGUCUGCUGUGAAAGCCCGGGGCUCAACCCCGGGUCUGCAGUGGGUACGGGCAGACUAGAGUGCAGUAGGGGAGACUGGAAUUCCUGGUGUAGCGGUGAAAUGCGCAGAUAUCAGGAGGAACACCGAUGGCGAAGGCAGGUCUCUGGGCUGUUACUGACGCUGAGGAGCGAAAGCAUGGGGAGCGAACAGGAUUAGAUACCCUGGUAGUCCAUGCCGUAAACGUUGGGCACUAGGUGUGGGGGACAUUCCACGUUUUCCGCGCCGUAGCUAACGCAUUAAGUGCCCCGCCUGGGGAGUACGGCCGCAAGGCUAAAACUCAAAGAAAUUU
rnacentral:rRNA from 1 species